UUUCAAAGUUCUGGCUUGGGCUUCUAGUGCAUUUUAGAAAAUGAGACUAAUGUACUUGUGAGAGGCGUGACUGUACGCUCCACCAACCAUUCUGGUUUGAGUCCUCUUCAACUCGAGUUUGGGUGCCUAUUUCUUCUGUCAGUGGAAGUUAAAUUUACUCAGUUCCCCAUUUGGUAAUCUAAAGGAAACGUAGGUUGUGAGCUGAAUUGAAGUGUUAGUCCUUAUCUGCACCAACUUAGUAGUUAACUAAAUUGAAGUGUUUCCUGAUCCGAUUGUUUAGUUUGUGAGCUGAAACCUUAGGUUGGUGAAAACAGAUCAAAGUUUAUUUUUAGCGACUACCCAUCAGCCAUUUGGUUUGUAGCUGUAGCCUGGCAGGAGGUAUCUUUAGUUUUCUAGUGAUUUUUACCGUGUUGUAAAGUUCACUUAAACUGUUUCUAGUCAUACUUGACCAAGCUUAGUAAUUUUUUCACUUAUAGUGGACGCAGAUUGAGUUGUAGAUUCAUUUUUCUUCAAUCCAGAUGACCAAAUAUAAUUAUUUUAUACUGACCAACUUAACUUUACUUGUACAUGCUAUUAUCCACCUCGUCACGAAGGCGUUGAUCUGGGUCGACACUAGACUGACUUCAGGCCACCUGACAGCAUGCAUGGCCAAAUCAACUUGCUGCUGAUGGUCUGGUGUUACACUCUCCUGCUGCUCAGGAUGGACAAAUUUUAGGAACUCUUCUUAUCGGCCAACUGUCAAGCUGCUGGAGCUAGGCCAAGGGAGUAGCGCCGCUAGUUCAAGGCUGGAGUUUCAUUCCAGUAUUAGAAUAGGACUACAUGAGGUACACAUAAGUAUUAGAACAGAACUGAAGGAUGCACUCUCUCGAAGACACAAUCAUUGUGAUAUUUCUAGAUCAUCCAGGGCACUAGGAUCGUCGUGGACGCCAGGCCCUUGUGCAUUGGCUUCGGAGUGUUUUGCCUUGUAGUUUGCUACCACUCGAGGAGGGAGGCCUUAUCGGCAGGUGGUCUGAAUGUCGUCCGCAGCCAAGACAAGAUCUCAUGCCAGACAAGCCGUGAGAAUGGGCAUGCAAUGAUGAGGUGGUGCAUUGUUUCCGACACUUGGUCGCACAAAAGGCAUCGUGGGUGAUGUUGCAGUCCUUGUCGUGCCAGCCUUUUAGCCGUCUAGCACCUGUCCUAAUUGGCCAGCCAGUGGAAAAACUUGACUUUUGGGGGAGCCAAGGUCUUGUAGUGUGUUUCCAAGAUGCACUAUUUGUUGAGCCGUGAAAGGAGGCUAGGUAUGCUGAUUUGCCAGUAUAUUCUCCGCUAGCAUGAUGAGUUUGUCGUCGUCCAAGGAUAGGCUGGUGUGCUAGAUCAUGUGCCAGAGGAUGAUGAGGUAUUGUCCUAAUUCAUGCACCCCGAGGAUGCCAUGAAUGUCCUGAGCCCAACAGUUGGCAGCCAAACCUUCAGCGACAGUUCUUUGUUUGCGUCUGCGUUUGGGGAUGUCAGCCCUUUCCCAAGUGAAAUCGAAGUUGAGGCGAUGAAGAAAUCUCGUUCAUCUGCUGUGUGAACUGUAGGUCAAGGCCACUCCGAGCACGGAUGUUAUCAGUGCGGCCUAGGCAUUGCCAUCUCACGCGCAGUGCCAGGCCCGUGCUCCAGGUCCUGGACUCCCAGCCCUCCAAGUGAUGUGGCCGGCACACCCGUCACCACUUGACACAGCAGCCCCCGCCGUUGGCAUCGGCGGCUCCUUCCCAGAGGAAUCCUCUCUCGAUUUUCUCCAUCAGCCUGAUGGUCUUCUUUGGUGGCGCCAACACAAGAAGUUGGUGGAUUGGAUUGCUCCAACCACAGACUUGACAAGGGACAGCCUUCCUGGCUUCUGCAUCCGCCGAGAUUUCCAAGUUGGCAACUUUGCUGCCAUUCGGUUGACAAGGGCCGGACUGCAUUUGGGCUGCUGUUGGCCUUCUGAUUGUUAGUGGGAUUCCUAGAUAGGAGAAGGGGAGCUCGGUGACAGGGAAAUCAAUCUCACCGCACUCGAUCAAAGUUGCUAACUCUUGGCGUAGUUCACAUGUAGGCCGGAUGCUUCUUCAUAUAACUGCAAGAUCUCCUUUACCGCCAUGGCCUCCACAAUAGUUGGCUGACAGAAAAGGAUGACAUCAUUGGCACAAAGCGAGAUGGAUGGGAUCGUGUGCUGCAGGUGCAGCUGCUGUUGAACUCCCAUGAUGACAGCUCAUUGAUUCAGCCUUCCCAAAAUCCACAGCCUGGCACUGAUAGUCCACAGCCUUCCCAGAGGAAAAUUGGGGGACCUGGCUCUCCCUUGAUCAUUAUAAUCGUGCUUGCCGAAAUAGCAGCACAGCCAGCCAGUCAAUGAAUCGGUCACUGAAACCCAUAUUGCUUUAGAUUCACAAGAGCACAGCCAAGACGGGAGCUCCCUUGGUCCUCUCCCAAGAUAGCUAGGGCUUGCGGCACGGAACUGCCACGGCAAGCAGCGAGGGCCAUGCUUUUGAAGAGGGCGAUAGGGAGCAUCGCCUCUACCGUAGCUCUCUUGCUGUCGCCCACUUCAAAAUCAUGCCCCGGCUGGCAAUCAGGUGGCCACACCCAUCUUUCGUACACACGGCGGGCAGGCAUACCCAUCGUCGUCGCCUGCUACAACCGUUUGCCGGCUCGCCUUCUCCGGCCGUCUUCUUCUGCGGAGGCAUCCAGCUCUUAAUUUCCUUUCCUUCUCAAGUUCGCUUGGCAAGCAAGUGGAGUUUCUACUCCCUAGUCCAAGAGAUGUCAGGCUGCAUGAGCUCCUAGGUCACUUGACUAACCGCAUCCGGGAAACCUGGAGAUGACAUAUGGUUUGGGAGAUGCAACCCUGACACAUGCCAGAGGAUGUGAUGGUCAUUAACCUGGUAGUAGCAUGCUCAGAUUUGGUUGCGUCCCAGCCGUUCUAGGAUUCAAAGCAUAUAGGAGGAGGCAGUUUUGGAGGGGAACCGGGAGGAGGCACGGUGGCGAGCUGCACGUGCCACUGCAGUGAGAGGUGCUCCGUGGAUGCCACUCACACUUCUCCGAGGUCCUACCCUAUAAGGUUUAUCUGUACCUGGCUAAUUACCUCUUUCUCAUCAGAAAUAGGAUCGAUUCAUUGAGUCUGAAAUGCUUUGAUAGUUUGCCACUGGGAUUUAUGGCUUUCGCAAGAACUAUGGAUGCAUUCAUGUUGUGUUUUCUAGAGAUGGCACAAGCAAUGUCCACUCCCUAUUUGGAAGUGAUGAAGCAUGUCAGGUCGGAGAGCGGGUUGUGCUCCCCAAGCCAAUCCUUGAUUACUGAUUUUGAGAAGGAUGGAGGAUGGGAAGAGAGCUUGGCUAAUUGACAAUCUGCAUGCCCAUUUGUGAGCUUGCCUUGUACACGUGAGAAAAGCCAAUUAGAGGCUGACACGUUGAUGGUUGUGUUCCAGUAGUGCCAUAUUUUGUUGAUCCUUGCUAACCGUGUAUCAACUGCCGCGAGAGCAUUCAGCUACUAUUAUUUGAGUUGAGGCUUGUUUCCUCUUGUUUUGAAUGUUAAGCAACUAGUGGAAGUAACAUGUGUAAUAUUAGUGCCGUGAUAGUCGGCUUGUGAAUGUGCUUGUGACGACUGGAAUUUGAGACUUUGAUUAUGCUCCAGGCUGAUGAUAUUGCGAUGGAUGAGAUGGUUUGUACCGCAAGUGUGCAUGCAACAACUUCAAUUAGCUCAGAAGGAUUACUCCGUAUUAAGAAGCUUGCACUUGGCUCCUAGUACCUAGCUCUGUCCAGGUUUACUCGUGUGUCUGUUGUAAACUGGAUGAAUCAACGAGUAAAUUUUGAAUUUUUGACUACAUCCUCAAGUUGGAAAUGUAUGUUAUGAUGAAUCAUUGUUUGAGAA